GCGAGCGGGGGAUGGGUGGGUAACACGUGGGGAACCUGCCCCUAAGUCUGGGAUACCAUUUGGAAACAGGUGCUAAUACCGGAUAAUAAAGCAGAUCGCAUGAUCAGCUUUUGAAAGGCGGCGUAAGCUGUCGCUAAGGGAUGGCCCCGCGGUGCAUUAGCUAGUUGGUAAGGUAACGGCUUACCAAGGCGACGAUGCAUAGCCGAGUUGAGAGACUGAUCGGCCACAUUGGGACUGAGACACGGCCCAAACUCCUACGGGAGGCAGCAGUAGGGAAUCUUCCACAAUGGACGCAGGUCUGAUGGAGCAACGCCGCGUGAGUGAAGAAGGUUUUCGGAUCGUAAAGCUCUGUUGUUGGUGAAGAAGGAUAGAGGUAGUAACUGGCCUUUAUUUGACGGUAAUCAACCAGAAAGUCACGGCUAACUACGUGCCAGCAGCCGCGGUAAUACGUAGGUGGCAAGCGUUGUCCGGAUUUAUUGGGCGUAAAGCGAGCGCAGGCGGAAAAAUAAGUCUAAUGUGAAAGCCCUCGGCUUAACCGAGGAACUGCAUCGGAAACUGUUUUUCUUGAGUGCAGAAGAGGAGAGUGGAACUCCAUGUGUAGCGGUGGAAUGCGUAGAUAUAUGGAAGAACACCAGUGGCGAAGGCGGCUCUCUGGUCUGCAACUGACGCUGAGGCUCGAAAGCAUGGGGUAGCGAACAGGAUUAGAUACCCUGGUAGUCCAUGCCGUAAACGAUGAAGUGCUAAGUGUU
rnacentral:rRNA from 1 species